UACGAAGGGGGCUAGCGUUGCUCGGAAUCACUGGGCGUAAAGGGUGCGUAGGCGGGUUUUUAAGUCGGGUGUGAAAGCCCCGGGCUCAACCUGGGAAUUGCAUUCGAGACUGAAUAGCUAGGGUACGGUAGAGGGAAGCGGAAUUUCCGGUGUAGCGGUGAAAUGCGUAGAUAUCGGAAGGAACAUCAGUGGCGAAAGCGGCUUCCUGGACCAGUACCGACGUUCAGGCACGAAAGCGUGGGGAGCAAACAGG
rnacentral:rRNA from 1 species